UCGAGGGGCAGCAUGGUCUUAGCUUGCUAAGACUGAUGGCGACCGGCGCACGGGUGCGUAACGCGUAUGCAACUUGCCUCACAGAGGGGGAUAACCCGUCGAAAGACGGACUAAUACCGCGUACACUCUAUGUUGGGCAUCCAAUGUAGAGGAAAUGAAMUUCGCUGUGAGAUAGGCAUGCGUCCCAUUAGCUAGUUGGUGAGGUAACGGCUCACCAAGGCGACGAUGGGUAGGGGAACUGAGAGGUUGAACCCCCACACUGGUACUGAGACACGGACCAGACUCCUACGGGAGGCAGCAGUGAGGAAUAUUGGUCAAUGGGCGAGAGCCUGAACCAGCCAAGUCGCGUGAAGGAUGACUGUCUUAUGGAUUGUAAACUUCUUUUAUACGGGAAUAACAAGAGCCACGUGUGGCUCCCUGCAUGUACCGUAUGAAUAAGCAUCGGCUAACUCCGUGCCAGCAGCCGCGGUAAUACGGAGGAUGCGAGCGUUAUCCGGAUUUAUUGGGUUUAAAGGGUGCGUAGGCGGCCUGUUAAGUCAGCGGUGAAAUCUAGGAGCUUAACUCCUAAAUUGCCAUUGAUACUGGCGGGCUUGAGUGUAGAUGAGGUAGGCGGAAUGCGUGGUGUAGCGGUGGAAUGCAUAGAUAUCACGCAGAACUCCG
rnacentral:rRNA from 1 species